GAUGAACGCUAGCGGCAGGCUUAAUACAUGCAAGUCGAGGGGCAGCAGCUCUGUAGCAAUACAGAGGCUGGCGACCGGCAAACGGGUGCGGAACACGUACACAACCUUCCUUUAAGCGGGGAAUAGCCCGGGGAAACCCGGAUUAAUACCCCAUAGUAUAUUGAAGAGGCACCUCUUUACUAUUAAAGAUUUAUCACUUGAAGAUGGGUGUGCGGCUGAUUAGCUAGUUGGCGGGGUAACGGCCCACCAAGGCAACGAUCAGUAACUGGUGUGAGAGCACGACCAGUCACACGGGCACUGAGACACGGGCCCGACUCCUACGGGAGGCAGCAGUAAGGAAUAUUGGUCAAUGGACGAAAGUCUGAACCAGCCAUGCCGCGUGGAGGAUGAAGGUCCUCUGGAUUGUAAACUUCUUUUAUAUGGGACGAAAAAAGGCUUUUCUAAGUCGUCUGACGGUACCAUAUGAAUAAGCACCGGCUAACUCCGUGCCAGCCGCCGCCGUAAUAC
rnacentral:rRNA from 1 species